rnacentral:tRNA from 4 species
GCCCUUGUAGCUCAGUCGGUAGAGCGCGUCCUUGGUAAGGACGAGGUCGGCGGUUCAAAUCCGCUCGAGGGCUCCA